rnacentral:rRNA from 1 species
CAUUACCUAAAUGGAUAUCCAUGGUAAUUCUGGAGCUAAUACAUGCACAAAACACCCGACUUUUCGGAAGGGUGGCAUUCAUUAGCCUUUCAGAACCAUCCGGGCCUUCUGGUCCGUGUCUGGUGAUCAUAAUGACGGAGCGGAUCGCAUAAUAUGCGACAGAUCGUUCAAGUUUCUGACCUAUCAGCUCCCGUCGGUAAGGUAUUGGCUUACCGAGGCUGUGACGGGUAACGGGGAAUUAGGGUUCGAUUCCGGAACAACUGCGAAAGCAUUUGCCCAGUGUGUACCUGUUAAUCAAGGACGAAAGUUGGGGGAUCGAAGACGAUUAGAUACCGUCGUAGUCCCAACUAUAAACUAUGCCGACUGAGGAUCGGAGGUGGAAGAUAAACGACUCCUUCGGCACUCCAAGAGAAAUCUAAGUCUCUGGGCCCUGGGGGGAGUAUGGUCGCAAGGCUGAAACUUAAAGGAAUUGACGGAAGGGCACCACCAGGAGUGGAGCCUGCGGCUUAAUUUGAUUCAACGCGGGGAACCUCACCAGGCCCGGACAUAGUCAUGAUUGACAGAUUGAGAGUUCUUUCUCGAUUCUAUGGGUGGUGGUGCAUGGCCGUUCUUAGUCGGUGAGGUGACUUGUCUGGUUAAUUCCGAUAACGGACGAGACCUCGACCUGCUAACUAGCAAACGUUUACACAUAGUAAGCGUUUGGCUUCUUAGAGGGACUUUGUG